rnacentral:rRNA from 1 species
GCAGCGGCUGGGGUCUGGAUGGGAGCGAUGGUGUUGCUGGUCUUCUCUCUCCCUCUUCUCCACUCUGGUCCGAUGUGCGGAGACGGGUCAUUGAGGUGCCGUCGGCAGGGCAUGGAGGCGCCGGUGGCAGGGAAUGGAGGCGGGGAACGGGGGCGAUUCAUCUGUGUGCAGAUUAUUUGUACUUUCUUGCUGCUCUUUGUAUGGGAUCUGAUACAUCACUUCCUUUGUUUAUCCCUCAGUAAUCAAAAGUAUAAACCUCUGGUGCACAUAUAAAUCCAAUCCUGGGGCGACCAGUACUGCACUUCAGAAUGAAUUCUUGUGUGCAAUAUGGUAUAUGAGGGAUUUUGAUGUGUACACUUGGGGUUUUAAGCAAUACCUCG